rnacentral:rRNA from 1 species
GAUCAUGGCUCAGGAUGAACGCUGGCGGCGUGCUUAACACAUGCAAGUCGAACGAAGCACUUUAUUUGAUUUCCUUCGGGACGUGAUUAUUUUGUUGACUGAGUGGCGGACGGGUGGAGUAACGCGUGGGUAACCGUGCCUUGUACAGGGGGAGUAACAGUUGGAAACGGACUGCUAAUACCGCAUAAGCGCACAGCAUCGCAUGAUGCAGUGUGAAAAACUACCGGUGGUAUAAGAUGGACCCG